AAUGAACGCUGGCGGCAGGCCUAAAACAUGCAAGUCGAACGCCCUAGCAAUAGGGAGUGGCGCACGGGUGAGUAACAUGUGGGAAUAUGCCUUUUGGUACGGAACAACGUUUGGAAACGAACGCUAAUACCGUAUGGUCCCUCCGGGGUAAAGAUUUAUCGCCAAAAGAUUAGCCCGCACUAGAUUAGCUAGUUGGUAAGGUAAUGGCUUACCAAGGCGACGAUCUAUAGCUGUUCUGAGAGGAAGAUCAGCCACACUGGGACUGAGACACGGCCCAGACUCCUACGGGAGGCAGCAGUUAGGAAUAUUGGACAAUGGGCGCAAGCCUGAUCCAGCCAUGCCGCGUGAGUGAUGAAGGCCUUCGGGUUGUAAAGCUCUUUAGCCGGCGAAUAUAAUGACUGUAGUCGGAGAAUAAGCCCCGGCUAACUUCGUGCCAGCCGCCGCUGUAAAAC
rnacentral:rRNA from 1 species